rfam:Gossypium raimondii Chr06_contig_836, whole genome shotgun sequence.
UGUUACAAUUUUCAUCCAUUUGUAUUGUUAAAAACUAGCGUGACUGAUGGAAUAACCAAACAAUAAUAGUGGCGUGCCACAUGGACCUCAUGCUGAAGUAUGAGGAUCAGUUUUUAACACUAGAAAUGGAUAGAAUUUUUAACA